rnacentral:tRNA from 1 species
UAAAGCAUAAUUAAAACAUAAUAAUAUAAGACUUUUUAAUCUAACAUUGUAGACUCUCUACUGCUUUAA